CAGUUAGCACGCGUCGUUGUUAGUCCGUGAGAUUUCCACCACGAUUGCUUACCUGGGAUACCUGGGAAGGUUUACUACAUUAUAUCAGGAUCUUAAAGAUAACCAGAAAACAGAAAAAAUAAAAUGAAGUGCGGAGCUUGUGCGCUUGUCUUUAUGGUUUUCGUGUAUGGUAUUGCAGCUAUACCACUUCGAGACAAUGCCGACCUCGAAGGACGGAUCGCAGCGGUUGUCAGAGAAAUUAUUAACAUAAUUCUGGAAGAACAAAGACAAAGUCAACUAUCAAAUUCAGUAGCGGGAGAAUCAGACUAUAUGGGCAAUGAUGUCAUAGACCCAGAAAGGAAACGGGACUCCAAUCAUGGUAAAACGUUUUAUCAUUUUGGAGUUGGGAGACGCUAGGAUUUGUACGAGUUAGCCGGCUGUCGCUGAAGUUUUAUGUUCGGCAAUCCCUAUUUGUCAGUAUUUUUUUUCCAACACACAACGGACUGAGCGGAAAACUAUGUAUUAUAUUUCCAAGAAAUCUACAUAAUUGUCUUUGCAUUGGUAUACAUAUUUAUUUGUCCAGCACACUGCCGUGAAAUAGUUCAACCUGGUUUAUUACAUCGUACUAUAGUUGCUCACGUAACCCGAUCGAAUAUUUGAAUUUGUGUUUCAACUAAAAAUCAGGACUCAUAAUAUAGGCAUGUUUUGACAAUAUCAAUUAAAAUGUUUUUUAUUUGUCA